rnacentral:lncRNA from 1 species
GGUGAAUCAUUCGGCAUGGACCACACCACGGAGCCCAAAAUUCAACUAGAACAGGCACAUCCGACCCAAUCACAAGUGACUCCCAUGUUUGAUCAUUAACAGGAGGCACUGCAUUUUCCAAUGACCAUGUUAAACAAACAAAGAAGCUGACAAAUAAUGGAGAUGCUGAGAAAGCAACGGCUUUAGCAGCCUGAGAUGUUUUGCAAUAUGCUAAUGCACAACAACCGAAAAUUAACAAUAUAAGGAAACUUAUGCAUUAUAUUAGUUAUUUCUCCUUGUAAUCAGUUAGAAGACCACCAACGAAAAUUUGACAACAUAGAAUGAUUUUUUUUAACUAGGACAAUUUAUAUUACAAGUGCAGCCCUGCACUCUCUCACACAAAAUAUAAGUCAUUCAUCCCCUUUUGGGUGAAGAAUGAAGAGAAGUAUCGUAUGAAGCAAACUAUACUGAUACCUGAAAUCUGAAGUAGCUCCACAACAUCAAAGAAAGUAUCAGGUCAUAAUUGCUGAGUGAUGUAAGUCAUAGGAAUUUGAGUAUUUGACAGCAUGCCAGUACUAGCUUCUAAAUUUUUUCAAAAAUUAUGUCAUCACGAGAAAACAAGUACAUGAACUUUUAAGAAGGUAUGUGAAAUUAGCAACUUCUUCAGGGAAAGAAAGCAAAAGAGGCAUUGUCUUCUGACAUUCAAUUUGAGCGCAAACAAAAGAUCUUUCAAAAAUAAUAGUAAUAUAGUGUUCUUCAUCUGCAUUUUCCUUUCUUUUACUAACACAGAUAUUAUCGCUGUAUAGUAUUAGUUUUUAAGCUUUUGUAAGAUAUGUGUAAAAAAUGAAGUACAGUUUAAGCGCCUUGAUGUUACUUCCUCAAAAGUAAAGAGCCAAUGCAAUAAAUUUUCAUCUGUUUUAUUCAUGAGUAUAUCUUUACGGGUAAACACUUGAUAGACUCAGAGAUACUUCCCCCUCCUUUUAGAAGUAAUCCACUCUAUGGAGAUCAAUUGACCUGUACUCAUGGUUUUCCAGGAAAGUGCCACUUUAAUUCAGGAAAGCAUAGUAUACUUGACAACUACUCCGAAUUUUAAUCACUCGACGCAGAAAAAUCAAAAGGUAAAUUGUAGGCUCUUGUCUUCGCUUCUAUUGCAAUACUAUUAAGAAAGUGCAACCAGAAAGCAAAAUAUUCAAGCACCAAACUUCAGCACUCUGCUUUGACAGUGGAAAGUGGAUGACUUAAUCUUCAACUUCGAAAGUUUAUGACAAUGAAGAGCUCAGUAUCCAAAGAAGACACAAAUGGUAAUCUGUUUUUGGUUGUCUUUGCUGCUCAUGCUCACAUACUGCAACAAGCAUCUUCCACUAAACUAACUAACAAGUGCAACACCCAAAAGGCCAACAUAUACACGAUUAAAAAACCAUACUUAUUUAGAGUUAGUUAUCAUAUAAUCGACCUCCUUUUCAAACUCAUUAAAUUUCUUUUACUUAUAUUUUGCUCAAGCUGCUUAAACGAGUAGAUGUUACAUUACUCGUUGGGUAUUUAAGUAUUUCAACAACAACAAUAACAUACCCAGUGUAAUCCCACACAUGGAGUCUGUUAUGUGGAGCCGGGGGCGUAGUGUGUAGGCAGACCUUAUCCCUAACUUGAGAGUUAGAGAGACUAUUUCCAAUAUACGCACAAAAAAAUCAAAAAAAUCUCAACUAUUCAGCAAACAUAAAUAGCAAUAUAAUAAACAGAAUUUAAAGGGAGGACAAGAAAUAAAGACCUAGAACGGCAGUGUCCUGAGCCUCACAAACGAUUCCUCCUCUACGGGGAACUGAUUUAGAGAUUGAGCUGAAGGACACUGAUGAUGAACGAGUCUGCUGGAUCUUAAGCCCCUUGAAUACGGAGAAUCUAACAGAGGACCGACGGCCGGAGAGGGAAGAACCGGCGAUAGGAGCCAACGAUGCCGACGGCAGAGCAGAGGCGCGAGGAACUGCAAUAGUUUCAAUUAAACCGGCCAUUGAAAUGGAAAAGUGGUGGAUAAA